GCAUAAAGUUCACACAAUUACAUGUUGUAGUUGUAGUUUAAUUGUGCAAAAGGAAUGUGCGACGAGCCAAAAUGGUUUAUUAAUUAGUAAUCAGAUGAGUCAUAUGAAUAAAUAGAUAGAAGGGUAAACAAGCUUACGAGACGCCUAGAAAGGGUAGUCAUCCCAGCCCAUGGACACCAUUGUAGUCGAUGCGUUGCCGGCCUUUGAGGGAGGAAUAUACUCUUUGUUUAAAAAAAGGACAAAUAGAGAUCGUAUUGCACAAGGAAGACCCCCACUAGGAGUCGAUUUUACAGCUCGCUAGUUCGCAAAAGAAAGCGCUUCACACGAGUGCACCAGCCAUCAAGAUGAUGCUGAUGAAUUAGAAUAAAUACCGCAGCUGCGGUGUUGUAACGAGGACCCCGUCGACCCAGGAACCGUACAUUUAGGUCCUUCGAGCCAUUUACAAUCACAACUAAAGUACAUUUAACGUCUAAUAAACGCCUCCGUUUUUUAUUAUUAUGCGACAGACGAAAAGUAUUAAUGAAAUUAAAGUGGAGUAAGGGAAAUAGUGACAGCUACUUUACUUACACUAACAAACUGUAUACCGUAUAGUUUGGAUGGCCUCACAUUAUGAUUAAACUUAGACCCGUAUUCUUAAAUGUCAAACAAAUUUAAUAUAAACACAGUUUCAAGAGUUGUCAAACCAUUUUUUUAAAUGAAGUUAGAGAUAUUUGACAGUGCUCAAUACGAGAUUUGAAGUAGAUGAAAGCCAGCCAAAGACCUUUGCCUUUCCCCUUAGGGAUAAAUUAAUAUCAUCAGCCAAAGAACAAACGCGUGCAGGCCAAGAAAGGAAAAAAAAAGAACAAACGCAGAGUUUUAUGAUUUUAACUUAAUCG